GAUGAAGAACCAGCGAAAUGCGAUAAGUAGUGUGAAUUGCAGAAUUCAGUGAAUCAUCGAAUCUUUGAACGCACAUUGCGCCCCUUGGUAUUCCAUGGGGCAUGCCUGUUCGAGCGUCAUUUGUACCUUCAAGCUCUGCUUGGUGUUGGGUGUUUGUCUCGCCUCUGCGUGUAGACUCGCCUCAAAACAAUUGGCAGCCGGCGUAUUGAUUUCGGAGCGCAGUACAUCUCGCGCUUUGCACUCAUAACGACGACGUCCAAAAGUACAUUUUUACACUCUUGACCUCGGAUCAGGUAGGGAUACCCGCUGAACUUAAGCAUAUCAAUAAGCGGAGGA
rnacentral:misc_RNA from 1 species